rnacentral:rRNA from 1 species
CUACGGGACGCUCCAGUAAGGAAUAUUGGGCAAUGGACGCAAGUCUGACCCAGCCAUGCCGCGUGCAGGAAGACAGCCCUACGGGUUGUAAACUGCUUUUAUACGGGAAAAAACUCCCGGUCGAGCACCGGGACUGAUGGUACCGUAAGAAUAAGCAUCGGCUAACUCCGUGCCAGCAGCCGCGGUAAUACGGAGGAUGCAAGCGUUAUCCGGAUUCAUUGGGUUUAAAGGGUGCGUAGGCGGAAUGAUAAGUCAGUGGUGAAAUCCUACAGCUCAACUGUAGAACUGCCAUUGAUACUGUUGUUCUUGAGUACAUUUGAAGUGGGCGGAAUGUGUCAUGUAGCGGUGAAAUGCUUAGAGAUGACACAGAACACCGAUUGCGAAGGCAGCUCACUAAACUGUAACUGACGCUGAGGCACGAAGGCGUGGGGAUCAAACAGGAUUAGAUACCCGCGUAGUC